ensembl:lncRNA
UAGCUGGCAGCAUCUUAGAUUUUAUUGACUGGAUGGUAUCUCUCACGACAUGGGAGUUGAACAAAUUUUCAGACUAGGUUUGAUUCAAAGGGAGAAGAUUUCACAAAGAUUUUGCACCUCCAAAAUUACAAUAAUGUCUCAAGUUUCCCCCACUGCACCCAAUUUUGUCCCUCUCGGAAAUACAACUUUGCAGCCACCCACAUCCUUAGGAUGGGAUGUGGAUGAGGGAAUGGGUGGAGGGAAGCUCAUCUGGAGAGGCAGCUGUUGCUAUUUCCUUAUUCUCUGACAUGAACUGCUUCAUCUCAGCCCUUGACAUUCAAAAUAGGCCUUGACUAGCCUCCCCGGCACCCCUGCUAAACUUCAUAAAUCAUACAGUCUAGGUUCUGCAUGCAAAAAAGAAGGAAACAGACACUCCUCACUUAUCCACCUACGGGCGAGUUUUCAUAUGGCCCUGACUGGCUCUGAGCCUGGAGCCAUAUUCAGCUAGCUGAAUUAGCUGCUAAGACAGGAAAGGAUGGAAAACUGUUACGCAGAUAUCUGGCUACUCAAGGCCUUUCUGGCUCCAGGGACCUCAGCAGCAUUGAGGCAAGGCUGCAGAUCUCAAGUUCAGCCUGUGCUCAUUUCCAAUGAUCUUUUCAUAUUAGCCCACUAAAUGUCCAUUACUGUUACUCUUCGAUGCUGGCUGAUUUGUAGAUCUAGUUGGCUGAACUCUGUUGAGACACUCAGCUUUUUUGAGUCCAUUCCAAUCUGUAAAAGAAGAAGAAUGUACUACCUAGCUGGCAACACGGUUAUGAGAAUUAAAAGAGAGAAUAUUUAUAAGGUACUUCAUAUAAUUACUAAGACAUAUACAAUACAUAGACAUACACAAUAUAUAAUCACAAUUCUAUUAUGUUAUUUAGCAAGCAUUUCCUGAGUACCUAUUAUCUGUCUGGUAUUGUAUUAGGUACUUUACAAAAAUGUCUCAUUUAUACAAUUUCUAUUACUGUCCCCAUUUCACAGCCAGAGAGUUCUAAAAGGUCAAGUACUUACUCAAGGUCACAUUAGCUAUUACUUGGUAGAAAUUAUUACUAGGGUGACUAUAAUUAUUAUUUUUGUCAUAUGGAGCCCAACCUUCUAACAAUACAUAAAUCCCAUCUAAGGAUUGCACACAUCCAUGUGCAAACACAAGCAGAGAUUCUCAGACAGACACACCUGAAUAGACAAGGCCACACCCACAUUACAGCAAACAUAGGCUUCUCGAAGUAUAGAAUUCCCCUCUUUCCAUUUACUUUCAGGAUGUCCUCCUUUGUAUUUCUCUUCUCAGUGUUCCACUCAUCUGGUAGAUUAAUGCAGGUGGGAUUCUAAUAAUGGCUUUAUUGCAAUAAUUUCCCUGGGGUAGCUGCAUCUUAACAGAUGAAUUGUAGACCCCACAGUACAAAAGCUGUCAGAAUUAUUUGUUCUUAGGGGAAUUUCAGCCUAUAGUAGGAAGACAAAAGAAGGAAUCCUGGGGAAAGAUCAUUCAUUCAUUCAGAGUAAUGUUAUUGAUCACCAGUUAUGUGCCACACACUGUGCAAAGCUCUACAGAGAAAGCCAUCACGAGAGAGACAUGGUCCUUGACCUCAUAGGUAUUAGAAUCUGCUGGUCUUACAAUUGAUCUUAACCAUGCCCUCCCAAUGCCACCUAUAGGUGGAUGAAGAUAGUCACAAUCUGGGGAUCAUAGUUCCAUUUAGAAUCCUUAUUGUGGAUUCCCAGAAUCCUGGAGCUGUGCUAUCCAAUAUGGUAGCCACUAGCCACAUGGGCUAUUUAUGUUCGAAUUCAAAUUUAUUAAAAUUAAAUAAGGUUAAAAAUUCAGUUCCUGGUUGCACCAGCCACAUUUCAAGUGCUCGAUAGCUCCAUCUGGCUAAUGGUUACCAUCUUGGGGGGCACAGACAUAGAAUUCUUCCAUCAUUGCAGAGGUUUUCAUUGAAUAGCACUAGACUAGAGUAUCAAAGAAUGAAGAUAGUUUAAAGAUGUUCAAAUUCUACCCGCCUCAUGGUACAAAUGGUGAUACUGAGGCCCAGAGAGUGAUGGCCAGAGAUGAGUCCAUAGUUAGCCCAGCUAUAAAUGGAAUCUUUCACUGCCUUUGCCAAAUAAUAUCGUCCCCCUCAGCCCUGCCCAUCCAGCUUGUCAGCCUCCCUUCCCAAACCAAGGAUAAGGAGUCAUUGACUUCAGAUUUGACAUUGCUGUAUGGGCUCCAGGGGUAAGACCUGGCCUUCAGAAGAAGCCAUUCUCCAGAGGUGACUGCUGUCUCCCUAGGAAGUUGUGUGCGUAAAUAACUACAAAACAACAAUGAGGAAACCUUCCCUUUAUGUGUGGGGAACUUGGCAUGCAUUAUCUCUUUUAAGUCUUCCCCCAAACCCAAAAGGUUGGCAUCAUUAUUACAGAUAAGCAAACCAAGGUUCAGAAAGGUGAGCCAGUUGCCCGAGGUCACCCAGCACAGAGAGAGAAAUCUGAAUGGGAAUCUGGGUCUCUUGACUCCGGAGCCUAUUGCUGUUUGCCUCCAUUCUAAUCUACCAUUUCAUUUUAAACCUUCAUUUUACCAGGGUAAAAAGCAAUUAUAAUUGCAGAUUUUCCUCUUUCCUGGCCUUGCUUCAAAUUCAAAUAUCAAAACAAAUGUAAAACCAAAGUUUAAACAAGAACCAUCCCCGCUGGAAAAGCCACACGUGUUCUGUUCCUUGCCCCGUUUUUAUCAGCUCUGUGCACAUCUCCAUACUGCAGCCCCUGGAAACACUUCUGUGGGAACUGGAAGGAUCUGGAAGGGGCCAUAGUUGAGAAACCAUCGCUGAGAGACCAGGACUCCUGCUGGAAGCUCAGGGCUGCACC